rnacentral:rRNA from 1 species
GACGAACGCUGGCGGCGUGCCUAAUACAUGCAAGUCGAGCGCAGGAAACUGACGGAACUCUUCGGAGGGAAGGCAGCGGAAUGAGCGGCGGACGGGUGAGUAACACGUAAGGAACCUGCCUCAAGGAUUGGGAUAACUCCGAGAAAUCGGAGCUAAUACCGGAUAGUUCAUCGGACCGCAUGGUCCGUUGAUGAAAGGCGCUUCGGCGUCACCUUGAGAUGGCCUUGCGGUGCAUUAGCUAGUUGGUGGGGUAACGGCCCACCAAGGCGACGCUGCAGAGCCGACCUGAGAGGGUGAUCGGCAACACUGGGACUGAGACACGGCCCAGACUCCUACGGGAGUCAGCAGUAGGGAAUCUUCCACAAUGGACGAAAGUCUGAUGGAGCAACGCCGCGUGAGUGAUGAAGGUUUUCGGAUCGUAAAACUCUGUUGUAAGGGAAGAACACGUACGAGAGGAAAUGCUCGUACCUUGACGGUACCUUACGAGAAAGCCACGGCUAACUACGUGCCAGCAGCCGCAGUAAUAC